rnacentral:rRNA from 1 species
GACGAACGCUGGCGGCGUGCUUAACAUAUGCAAGUCGAGCGGUAAGGCCCUUUCGGGGGUACACGAGCGGCGAACGGGUGAGUAACACGUGGGUGACCUGCCCUCAGCUCUGGGAUAAGCCUGGGAAACCGGGUCUAAUACCGGAUAUGACUCCAUGACGCAUGUUGUGGGGUGGAAAGCCUUGUGCGGCUGAGGAUGGGCCCGCGGCCUAUCAGCUUGUUGGUGGGGUGANGGCCUACCAAGGCGACGACGGGUAGCCGGCCUGAGAGGGCGACCGGCCACACUGGGACUGAGACACGGCCCAGACUCCUACGGGAGGCAGCAGUGGGGAAUCUUGCGCAAUGGGCGAAAGCCUGACGCAGCGACGCCGCGUGAGGGAUGACGGCCU